CAGAACGAACGCUGGUGGCGUGUCUAUACAUGCAAGUCGAGCGGCGUAGCAAUACGUAGCGGCGAACGGGUGAGUAACGCGUAAGCAAUCUGCCCCAUAUCAGGAAAUACCCGUGCCAACGCGCGGUUAAUGUCCAGGAGAGUGGCCCCUUGCAUGAGGGGUUGACUAGAGAUUCAUCGGUAUGGGAUGAGCUUGCGUCCGAUUAGCUAGUGGCGGGGCAACGGCCCACCAAGGCGACGAUCGGUAGCCGGCCUGAGAGGGUGAUCGGCCACAUUGGGACUGAGAUACGGCCCAGACUCCUACGGGAGGCAGCAGUAGGGAAUAUUGCACAAUGGGGGGAACCCUGAUGCAGCAACGCCACGUGUGGGAAGAAGCAUUUCGGUGUGUAAACCACUGUCGUGAGGGAAUAAGGCCUGCUUUCGGGCAGGAUUGAAUGUACCUCGAAAGGAAGCACCGGCAAACUUCGUGCCAGCCGCGGC
rnacentral:rRNA from 1 species